rnacentral:misc_RNA from 1 species
UGAAUUGAAUUCUUGUAAAAUUUUUGUUUCCAAAUGAGGGGAAUGUAAAUGUGAUAGGAAUGACAUAAUAUGAUAAAUCAAUGAUGCUCUUCACAAGGAAAAUUGAGCUAAAUUCGAUUUGAACAAGCUAAAACAAACUUCUUUCCACAAAUUUAUGCAUUACAGAUAGUCAAUACUUAUGUCUGAGAACAUAUUAGAGUUUAAUUAGCCUGAUAAUUCUCAAGUACAAACACUUCUGACCUUGCAAAAUGUUCAGAAAAAAUUGAAUAUUUUAUUUGAAAUGAACUGAAAAAUAGACAAUUGCAACAAAGUAGAAGCUGUAAAAGAAUCAUACAUAU